GUAGGUAUUUCUUGAAGGAAGGUAGCUGGGGUGCACGGCACAAGUGCACAUAUGCAUGAGGUCACCUUUGGAAACAGGAACCAUGCAGAUUGCAAACUGCAAUUUCUGGCUUCCUGCAAUGAGAUUUCAAAAGGCAAUGAUCCUUUAACAAAUCAACAGCCCGGUUCCAAAUGCCUGUUAACCAAGGUGGGAGGGAACGAGCUUGGGGAGGGAAGAUUUUCCCUACAGAGCAGGUCACAUCUGGCUGUGAGCUCAGCAUCUGUCUGGUACCAGAGCCGUACCAAAGGCUUCUUAAGCUCCUGGGCCUGCCCCCAGUGGAGGCAGUGGCAGAGGAGCGGUGAGGAGGGGCUUUCUGCAGUCAUUCACUGACUGGCAGUGAGCAGAGGACUGAGGCUGUGUAGCAGCUGUGGAACCAACCACGAUGCCUGGGAAAUUGUGCAGGUGGUUUCAGAAAAUGGUAUGCUGUGGGCCAUCCAUCAAGUCUGUACCACCCCAGUUUGCUUUGAACAGGAGACAGUGUUACAGGCUGUGCUAAAACCGAGAUUGUCUGAGGGUCCCUCAUUGGCUUCAUGACGGAAAGUGGUUGAUUCACCUCCACCCAGCGGUAAUUACGUGUUGCUGCCUACUGGAAGUUCUCAUGCUUGGCAUUGGACUG
ensembl:lncRNA